AGCGAACGCUGGCGGCAGGCUUAACACAUGCAAGUCGAACGCCCCGCAAGGGGAGUGGCAGACGGGUGAGUAACACGUGGGAACGUACCCUUUGGUUCGGAAUAACUUGGGGAAACUCAAGCUAAUACCGGAUAAGCCCUUUGGGGAAAGGUUUACUGCCGAAGGAUCGGCCCGCGUCUGAUUAGCUAGUUGGUGAGGUAAUGGCUCACCAAGGCGACGAUCAGUAGCUGGUCUGAGAGGAUGAUCAGCCACACUGGGACUGAGACACGGCCCAGACUCCUACGGGAGGCAGCAGUGGGGAAUAUUGGACAAUGGGGGCAACCCUGAUCCAGCCAUGCCGCGUGAGUGAUGAAGGCCUUAGGGUUGUAAAGCUCUUUUACCCGGGACGAUAAUGACUGUACCGGGAGAAUAAGCCCCGGCUAACUUCGUGCCAGCCGCCGCAGUAAGAC
rnacentral:rRNA from 1 species